ensembl:lncRNA
UGGAGGCCCCACCUCAUAGCUGACUUCAGUUAACAUCUUGGCACAGGUGCUACUCUGGCUGUGAUUUCUGGUUGCGGGGGGUCUUGAAAGCCUGUUUGGGCUGGGCUUGAUGUAUUCUGUGCAACACAAUAACAAAUUAAAAUCAUUAGUCAUUACUGUAUGUACCUUUUAAUCAUGGCUUCUCAUCACAAUGCUUUUGUUUAGUUUCUUUGGAACAGAAGCGGCUGAUGAUUGUAGCGUGGUGAUCAGCACAGGUUCUGGGCUCAAAGCCAGGCUCGGGCCUCUCUGUGUGUGUUCUCUGUUUAGUGAAUUUAAACUGGCUGUAAGUGUGAAUUGUUGUCUAUCUCAAUGUGUUAGCCCUGCGACAGACUGACAAUUAUUAGUUAUUAUGAUUUUGUAUUUUCGGAGUACUUUUUCUUAAUUUCGUACUGACAUUUUUUUUAGUUCAUUUUAUUUUCAGUUAAUUUCCAGGGAUAGAUAUUCUAGUUUGAACUGUACUUUUUAUUGCUUAAAAAUGUUUAGGUUUUUUUAAGUUUUUUUUUUUAGUUUUUAUUAGUUUCAGUACCAGUUUUAGUUUAUUCUUGUUUUCUUUUUUCAAAUAUUACGAUAUGGAAGUUUUAUGUCAGAGGAAAAAUUUGGUCAAACAAGUACAGGUAUUACAAAAAAACACAUGCUUCUUUAAAACAGUUGACUCACAGGCUUGUAGAGAUCCUGACUCACAAUAAUCAAGCCUAGCAGUGCCUCAUCAGGCAAGUUGGAAAUGCAUUUUACUAAAUUAACAGAUUAUAAAAUUAAGGAUAUUUCCCUUAUACUUUUAUUUUAGUCAGUUUUCAAAGUCCUACGGAGCCCCCCAGGGCUAAGUUUUAGCCGCAUUCUUCAGAGGCUGCCAGCUCAAAGCCGACCGGGAGGUCGAGGCACGAUGUGCCGGGAAAGUGGUGUUCCUCCCGGCUGUAGUAGGUCUCAACCUCCCGUUAGCUUCGAGAUAGUGGGUGUCAGAUCUCCAAAAACGUCGGAGCACUUUUGCAAAUAUGUGAUGUCUUGUU